GAAGCCGCUGGUUCCAGCCCCAGCAGAUUAAAGUCAACCUUGGAAUUGGGUUAAACAUUACAAAAUGCAUCAAUAAAGUGGAAGCAUCCUGGUCUAAAUAUUGGGGCUGACUCUCAUUAGAGUAUGAAGCUGCAGGCACCAGCCAUCCUCUCAUACCUGAUCCACAUUGACCAUUGUUCACUGACUAUGCUUUU